UAAAGCGGCGAACGGGUGAGUAACACGUGAGCAAUCUGCCCCUCGGUGGGGGAUAAGCCUUCGAAAGGGGGUCUAAUACCGCAUAACAUUCCUGGAUGGCAUCAUCCGGGAAUCAAAGAUGGCCUCUGCUUGCAAGCCAUCACCGGGGGAUGAGCUCGCGCUCCAUUAGCCUGUUGGUGGGGUAAUGGCCUACCAAAGCUACGAUGGAUAACCGGCCUGAGAGGGUAAACGGUCACACUGGGACUGAGAUACGGCCCAGACUCCUACGGGAGGCAGCAGUAGGGAAUCUUGCGCAAUGGACGAAAGUCUGACGCAGCAACGCCGCGUGUGGGAUGAAGCUCCUUGGAGCGUAAACCACUGUCAGGAGGGACGAACGAUUUUGGCCUUAAUAUGGCCUUGGUUUGACGGUACCUCCAGAGGAAGCUCCGGCUAACUCCGUGCCAGCAGCCGCGGUAAUACGGGGGGAGCAAGCGUUGUUCGGAAUCACUGGGCGUAAAGGGUGCGUAGGCGGGAGAUUAGGUCGGAUGUGAAAACCUCGGGCUCAACCCGGGGCCUGCAUUCGAAACCAGUCUUCUUGAGUAUCGGAGAGGGAAGCGGAACUCCAGGUGUAGCGGUGAAAUGCGUAGAUAUCUGGAGGAACACCGGUGGCGAAGGCGGCUUCCUGGACGAAUACUGACGCUCAGGCACGAAGGCUAGGGGAGCAAACAGGAUUAGAUACCCUGGUAGUCCUAGCGGUAAACGAUGGGCACUAGGUAUC
rnacentral:rRNA from 1 species